rnacentral:rRNA from 1 species
CAUGUAGGCGGAUUAAUAAGUUUGAAGUGAAAUCCUAUAGCUUAACUAUAGAACUGCUUUGAAAACUGUUAAUCUAGAAUGUGGGAGAGGUAGAUGGAAUUUCUGGUGUAGGGUAAAAUCCGUAAAGAUCAGAAGGAAUACCGAUUGCGAAGGCGAUCUACUGGAACAUUAUUGACGCUGAGAUGCGAAAGCGUGGGGAGCAAACA